AUCACGCAGUCAAGAGGGAAUCUAGCGCUGACACACACAUUAAUCAUAUCAGUCGCUCAUCGGCUCUAAAUACACGAACGCUCACUGUUACCGUGAAAGAGGAUAGAGCCUCAACAAAGGUCAUAAACACACACUUGAAUGCUCACAAACCUCACAACUCUUGUCCCUGCAGACCUCCUGUGACUGUCAACCCACCCCAAACACACAAAAACAGCCUGUCAGAGAAGCUAGAAGCCACACAGGUGACAAAUACCAGAAUACCACACACAAACACUCACUUUAGAUCAUCUCACCAGCCAAACCCUGAUGAGAAACGACCAACUCAAAGAAACCAAGGAGCAACUACACACUCAGAGUCCCCCCAGCCCCAAAAUAAAACACACAUCAGACCUUUGCAAACUACUUUGAAACAACAAAUGUUCCCCCAAACUAGCAUACCGCAGAACUAUGCACUUUCGAAAUGCUCACGGUUAAAUCAGACAAGCACACUUUCGAAAUCCCCUGCCUGUUUUCAUUUACAUUCAAACGUUAAACGCCAAACUAUAGUGCAGAGUUGUGUGAAUGAAGGUGUCAUAUCCUCCACUGCUUCAAACAUUCACAGACAGGUUCAGUUCACUAAUGGACUAGAGUCCAAGUUUGACACGCACACUAAACCGUCAGUGUGCUCACACACAAAUUUCGGCAUUAAACCUCAAAGCGGGACGCAAAUCUGUGCUGACACAGAGUCAGAAUCAUCACCCUGUGAUUCACGUUCGCAUUCUGCACUGGUGACACACGCACAUAAACUCUCAGGGCCUCACGGUGAACCACGUCACGCAUCGAUACACACAGGCACUCCUUCGCCCACCGACACGCACAAGGAAGUUUCCCACACAUCCACACAGCGAACAAACACCAGUGGAACAUCACUGCAGGGUAUAUCCGUGCAUAAAGACGCACUGUCACAUCCUUAUCGUGAGUCAAAAAGCCAAAAUGACACUUGUUUGUUUUCACAUGCCCCAAAUAUGUCAACUCAUCACAAAGCAACACUUACGACACAAACAAUCAACCAUCAGAACCUCUCAAAUGCAUUUACCGCCACGCAGACGGAGGUGGAGGUGCAUUCGUACACCAAAGAACGUUCUCAAGCAAGCCCUGGGGUCAAAGCAGCCUCGCGCACUUUGUGUGUUCAAUCGAAAACGCCAUGUAGGCAGACAGAGCCUACGGUUUUCAGACGCUCUGUCCUGAAUCAGCUUAAUAAUGAC
rnacentral:lncRNA from 1 species